CAGUAGCCACGGGAACACGUAGGGUGCGAGCGUUAAUCGGAAUUACUGGGCGAAAAGCGUGCGCAGGCGGUUUUGUAAGACAGGCGUGAAAUCCCCGGGCUCAACCUGGGAAUGGCGCUUGUGACUGCAAAGCUAGAGUGCGGCAGAGGGGGAUGGAAUUCCGCGUGUAGCAGUGAAAUGCGUAGAUAUGCGGAGGAACACCGAUGGCAAGGCAAUCCCCUGGGCCUGCACUGACGCUCAUGCACGAAAGCGUGGGGAGCAAACAGGAUUAGAUACCCCAGUAGUCCCUGUCUCUUAUACA
rnacentral:rRNA from 1 species